AUUAAGUGUGCGAAACAAAGCUUGAGCACCUGGAUUCAGACUUCUCUCUAGUUCGAGAGCAUGUCAACCAGGCAGAGAGAACCUAAUACCGACUGAUGCAUCAUGGUCGUUGCUAAUAGGUUACUUGGCGAGUUCGAAAAUUGGAAAAAGUACAAUGAAAAUCCAUAAAAAAUACUACUGUACGAACUGUUAGGGAGUAAUGAAACUUGGAAGGAUCAAGGAUGCACAUCGAACAUGCAGGUCGCCUUGUUUUCUGGAACUUCAUGUCAAACUGCAGCUAAUAGGCAUAUAUAUACGGAUGGGAACAACUAAAACUUCCAUACAAGUUUCAUUGAAUCGGAUGUAGGGACUACUAUGAAGUAUUAACAUUCAACAAAAAGCCAAAACCCAAGAUCCAAUCUUGCAAGGAAAGAAGAAGGAAAGCCACAUCCAAUCUAAGAUUGCAGAACCUAUUUGACCAAAGCUCGAGUCUUUCCAAAUCUUAAGGAGCUAAAGAGAGGUGGGGCCCUGACAGCCAUGCAUGGAUAGAGUGCUCUGCAUCAAGAACUUUCAUGGAUGAUAAGAGUCGCCGGGGAAGCAGGAAAGGGCGGCGGACUUUGGAAGCGAUUAAAUAAGUUAAAAGAGAGGAGGGCUGCAUUGCGCCGGGAUGCAUGGGUGAGCAUGCAGAUUGCAGGCGCAGUCGGGGAUCAAACCAGCAAACCCACGUCAGCUUACGCCAUCGCUUGUCUUGUCGGAUACUUGAU
rnacentral:sRNA from 1 species